AUUGAACGCUGGCGGCAGGCCUAACACAUGCAAGUCGAACGGUAACAGGAAGCAGCUUGCUGCUUUGCUGACGAGUGGCGGACGGGUGAGUAAUGUCUGGGAAACUGCCUGAUGGAGGGGGAUAACUACUGGAAACGGUAGCUAAUACCGCAUAACGUCGCAAGACCAAAGAGGGGGACCUUCGGGCCUCUUGCCAUCGGAUGUGCCCAGAUGGGAUUAGCUAGUAGGUGGGGUAACGGCUCACCUAGGCGACGAUCCCUAGCUGGUCUGAGAGGAUGACCAGCCACACUGGAACUGAGACACGGUCCAGACUCCUACGGGAGGCAGCAGUGGGGAAUAUUGGACAAUGGGCGCAAGCCUGAUGCAGCCAUGCCGCGUGUAUGAAGAAGGCCUUCGGGUUGUAAAGUACUUUCAGCGGGGAGGAAGGGAGUAAAGUUAAUACCUUUGCUCAUUGACGUUACCCGCAGAAGAAGCACCGGCUAACUCCGUG
rnacentral:rRNA from 1 species